GGGACUCAGAUGUAGAAUCGAUGACUGAUGGUCAUGACAAUGCUACUGCUUACGGAUACAACCAUGUCUUUGAGGAACCUGCAAUGGGUUGGGCUCGAUUCGCGCACACGAUGCGUAUCUGGGUUUAUAACUCAGGCUUCUUCUAUAUUAGACCAACUAUUCCUGCAAUUGAGCUUUUAGAUCGUGUGGCUAGCCGGCUUUCACGAGAACAGAACUCCUCGG
rnacentral:misc_RNA from 1 species